ACGCUCGACACCUACGGGAAGCAGCAGUGGGGAAUAUUGCACAAUGGGGGAAACCCUGAUGCAGCGACGCCGCGUGAGCGAAGAAGUAUUUCGGUAUGUAAAGCUCUAUCAGCAGGAAAGAAGAAAGACGGUACCUGACUAAGAAGCCCCGGCUAACUACGUGCCAGCAGCCGCGGUAAUCUGAGCGGGCUGGCAAGGC
rnacentral:rRNA from 1 species